UUCUAAAUUAAGUUUUAUACUACAUGUUAUAUGUGAUAUUAAACCACUGUAUGGUGCAUAUUACUGUAUGUAACUUACUAUGCAUAGAGUACUUACUGACAAAAUUAUUUUUUGUACAUUCCAGAACCCCCUGAAUGAUGUAGGCUAUGGGGCCACAUAAGACUUUGUCCAUCCAGGGUUACGAUGAAUGCAAAAUAUAAACUAAAGAACCCCCUGAAUGAUGUAGGCUAUGGGGCCACAUAAGACUUUGUCCAUCCAGGGUUACGAUGAAUGCAAAAUUUAAACUAAAGAACCCCCUGAAUGAUGUAGGCUAUGGGGCCACAUAAGACUUUGUCCAUCCAGGGUUACGAUGAAUGCAAAAUUUAAACUAAAGAACCCCCUGAAUGAUGUAGGCUAUGGGGCCACAUAAGACUUUGUCCAUCCAGGGUUAUGAUGAAUGCAAAAUUUAAACUAAAGAGCUACCAGACUGGGAUUUUAGUGUACUCCAGGAUCUAACAAAUACAUACGUACUACUACGAAGUGUGCAGUGCAUAAUAUAGUAUAGUGUUUAGUGUAUACCCUAAGGAUUAAGUGUAGUACAUUGUGCUUUUUAGUGUCACAAGAGUUUAAUAAAGAAUUAUA